CAAAGACAGGAAAAGUACAGAGUCAAGUGGAGACCAGCGAUUAAGAUAGUGGGGACAGAGGAUAAAUGACAAGAAGAAAAGAAGGAUUGUGGGACAGUUUAAGUAAAAGGACACAGGACCCAUUCAGGAAGCAGGACAGCUAGUGUGAGUCAGUAUAUGGGUGUUUUUUUUUGUUGCUUUAACCAUGUGAUUGAGUGGGAGACAAGUUAAAGUGCAACAGCUGAACCUCGGGAAUCAAGGGGACAAAGUCGAUGACAGAUGGAUACGCCAUCGGAGACAUGGAUGAGAGAAGGAGAGGGAUAAUGUCUUCUUUUGUUUUAAGGUUCGGCACAUCCCUCCAACCGAGAGAGAGACAAAAGGAUAUUUCGAACCUCAAGUUGGUUCCCAGGACCCUAACAGCUCAUCUAACCCGCAUCAUCCUUCAUGAUGUGGGUUUUUCUUGUUAUAUUGUAGUGUUUCUGGCUAACUUUUACACUGAAAUCAAUAUUAGGUAUUAGAACUCAAAAUUAUGCUGUAAAUCAAUAGGAGAGACAAAUAUACGUUUGAUAAAAGUUAAA